GAAUAAAUAAAUUUUUUAUGUUUUUUAAAAUUUAUUAUAAAUUUAUUUUAAAUGUAAAUUUUAGUAUAAAAUUUUAAUUAUUUUAAUAAUAAUUAAUUUUAAUAUACAGUAAUUAAAAUUAAAAAUUUAAGAAAUUAAGAUUUAGUAAUAUUUAAAUUAAUAACUAAUUUUGUGCCAGCAGUUGCGGUUAAACAAAAGUUAAAUUAAAUUAUUUCAGUAUAUAAUAAGUAAUAAUUAAUUAAAUUAAAUAUUAAAUUAUUAAGUGAAAUUUUAAUUUAAUUAAAAAUUAUAUUAAAAUUUAUGAUUUAAUAAAUUUUAUUAUAAACUAGGAUUAGAUACCCUAUUAUUAAAAAUUUAAUUAAAAAUACUAAAAUAGUAAAUAAAAUAUUAUUGAAACUUAAAUAAUAUGGCGGUAUUUUAGUUCAUUUAGAGGAAUCUGUCUAGUAAUUGAUAAUCCACGAAUAAAUUUACUUAAUUUAUAAUUUUGUAUAUCAUUGUUAAAAAAAUAUUUUUUAAUAAAAAUAAUAUUUUAAAAUUUAAAAUGAAAUUUAAUUCAGAUCAAGAUGCAGAUUAUAAUUAAGUUUAAGAUGGAUUACAAUAAAUUUAUUUAAGUGGAAAGAAUUUUGUAAAAUUUGAUUGAAAAUGGAUUUAAAUGUAAUUUUAAUUAGUUUAUUAAAAUGAUUAAAAAUUGAAAUAUGUACAUAUUGCCCGUCACUUUCAUUUAAAAAUUGAAAUAAGUCGUAACAAAGUAGAGGUACUGGAAAGUGUUUCUAGAAUGAA
rnacentral:ncRNA from 1 species